rnacentral:rRNA from 1 species
AACGAACGCUGGCGGCAUGCCUAACACAUGCAAGUCGAACGAGACCUUCGUGUCUAGUGGCGCACGGGUGCGUAACGCGUGGGAACCUGCCCUUAGGUUCGGAAUAACUCCCCGAAAGGGGUGCUAAUACCGGAUAAUGUCUUCGGACCACAGAUUUAUCGCCUUUGGAUGGGCCCGCGUUGGAUUAGCUAGUUGGUAGGGUAAAAGCCUACCAAGGCGACGAUCCAUAGCUGGUCUGAGAGGAUGAUCAGCCACACUGGGACUGAGACACGGCCCAGACUCCUACGGGAGGCAGCAGUGGGGAAUAUUGGACAAUGGGCGAAAGCCUGAUCCAGCAAUGCCGCGUGAGUGAUGAUGGCCUUAGGGUUGUAAAGCUCUUUUACCCGGGAUGAUAAUGACAGUACCGGGAGAAUAAGCUCCGGCUAACUCCGUG